rnacentral:rRNA from 1 species
UGAGGAAUAUUGGUCAAUGGACGAGAGUCUGAACCAGCCAAAUCGCGUGAAGGAAGACUGCCCUACGGGUUGUAAACUUCUUUUGUACAGGAAUAAAAGACAUUACGUGUAAUGUAUUGCAUGUACUGUACGAAUAAGCAUCGGCUAACUCCGUGCCAGCAGCCGCGGUAAUACGGAGGAUGCGAGCGUUAUCCGGAUUUAUUGGGUUUAAAGGGUGCGCAGGCGGGAUUUUAAGUCAGCGGUGAAAUUUUCAGGCUCAACCUGAACACUGCCGUUGAAACUGGGAUUCUUGAGUAUGGAUGAAGUAGGCGGAAUUCGUUGUGUAGCGGUGACAUGCUUAGAUAUAACGAGGAACUCCGAUUGCGUAGGCAGCUUACUGGGGUACAACUGACGCUGAUGCACGAAAGUGUGGGUAUCAAACA